UCCUCUCCUUCCUUCUGCCGCGUCCUCCCCGUCGGAGCCCCCUUCUUCGCCCUCCCUCCUGACCGCGGGGGGCGGAGCCUGAGCCCGGGGGCGGGGCCUGGGAUGACGCCCUCCCCCCUGAUUUGAGGGCCAGGGCCCGGGCCCCGCCCCUCGGCCCCUCCGAUGCUGAGCUCAGUGUGCGUGUCCUCCUUCCGCGGGCGCAAGUCUGGGAACAAGCCUCCGUCCAAGUCAUGUUUGAAAGGGGAGAUGGGCCGGAACGAGGACAACGACAAGAUCGUGAUCAACGUGGGCGGCAUCCGGCAUGAGACCUACCGCAGCACCCUCAAGACCCUGCCGGGCACCCGCCUCUCCUGGCUGACCGAGCCCGACGCCUGCUCCAACUUCGACUACGACGCCAAGGCCGACGAGUUCUUCUUCGACCGCCACCCGGCCGUCUUCGCCUACGUGCUCAACUACUACCGCACCGGGAAGCUCCACUGCCCGGCCGACGUCUGCGGGCCGCUCUUCGAGGAGGAGCUGGCCUUCUGGGGCAUCGACGAGACCGACGUGGAGGCCUGCUGCUGGAUGAACUACCGUCAGCACCGCGACGCCGAGGAGGCCCUGGACAGCUUCGAGACCCCCGAGAGCCAGGAGGAUGAGGAGAGCGGCGACCUCAAGCGCCUCUGCCUCCAGGAGGACGGCAGGAAGCUGGGCUGGUGGGCCGGCAUGCAGCCCAAGGUCUGGGCCCUCUUCGAAGACCCCUACUCCUCCAAGAUGGCCAGGUAUGUGGCCUUUGCCUCACUCUUCUUCAUCCUCAUCUCCAUUACUACGUUCUGCCUGGAGACCCACGAAGCUUUCAACCACAUCGUAAACAAGACAGAGGUCUUGCAGUCAGGCAAUGUCACCAACACAAAGGUGGACUUCGAGGUGGAGACGGAGCCCUUCCUCACCUAUGUGGAAGGAAUGUGUGUAAUCUGGUUCACCUUUGAGUUCCUCAUGCGUGUCAUCUUUUGCCCAGACAAGAUGGAAUUCAUCAAAAGCACCCUCAACAUCAUCGACUUUGUGGCCAUCCUGCCCUUCUACCUGGAAGUGGGCCUCAGCGGCCUCUCAUCCAAAGCAGCUAAGGAUGUGCUGGGCUUCUUGAGGGUGGUCAGGUUUGUCCGGAUCCUAAGGAUCUUCAAGCUCACCAGGCAUUUUGUAGGGCUGAGAGUCCUAGGCCACACUUUGAGGGCCAGUACCAAUGAGUUCUUGCUCCUCAUCAUCUUCUUGGCCCUAGGGGUCUUGAUCUUUGCCACCAUGAUCUAUUAUGCUGAGAGGAUCGGGGCUGACCCAGAUGACAUUACCGGCAGCAAGCACACGGUCUUCAAGAACAUCCCCAUUGGGUUCUGGUGGGCCGUGGUGACCAUGACGACUUUGGGAUAUGGUGACAUGUAUCCUGAGACUUGGUCAGGUAUGUUGGUGGGAGCCUUGUGCGCCUUGGCCGGCGUGUUGACCAUCGCCAUGCCCGUGCCGGUCAUCGUCAACAACUUUGGCAUGUAUUAUUCCCUGGCUAUGGCCAAGCAGAAACUACCAAAGAAAAAGAACAAGCACAUCCCACGAGCCCCCCAGCCUGGGUCACCCAACUACUGCAAGCCGGACAUGCAGUCUCCACAUCGUAGCAACCAGGGUGACUCGUGUCCCCUUGCUCAAGAGGAGAUCAUUGAGAUCAACAGGGCAGAUUCCAAGCAAAACGGUGAUGCUGCAAAUGCAGCAUUGGCCAAUGAGGACUGUCCUACCAUUGACCAGGCCCUGUCACCUGAAGAGAAGUCACCUGUCACGCCUGGUGGCCGGGAGCGCUACAACCGUGACCGAGCCUGUUUUCUCCUCUCUACAGGGGACUUUGGACAAUCGCCCGAUGGGAACAUCCGAAAAGGCGCCCGACGCCUGCCGCAGCCAGCAUCAGACUCCUCUGCCACAUCCUGGUACCUGCAUGACUACAAUGCCAACGCGGCCCCCUGGAAGCAUGAGUAGGAUGCCUGGAAUGCAGGGAAAUGCUCUGAUUACCGCCUGAGACUGGCUGGGCAUGUGAACUCCAGCGCCCCUCGGAGGCAGCGCUCCCCGCAGGCUAUGAGAAGUCCCACAGCCUGAACAGCAUUGCUGGACUGCGCCCGUCUCCAGCGCCCACUCCCUUCGGCUCGCCUGGUUCCAUCCGACGCCCUCGCUCACCCAUCCCUUCCAUCCUAUAGAGACACACCAGGGAUGCUUGGGGUUAGCUUGUAUGUUUGUUUCUUCUUCUUCUUCUACUACUACUACUUCUUCUUUUCUUUUCUUUUUUGAAGAAAAAAAAACUACUAGAAGAAAAAAGAAAAAAAAAACAAGGUAAUGCCAAAAAACAAAAAAAGCAAAGGGAACAAGAAAACAAAUGAAAAAAAUAAUGCGGCCGAAUGGAACAAUGAAAUGCAGGAGGCAUCUCACAGGUGGUGUUGCACUAAAGUUUGCACUUUCUGGAGUGUCCAUGAGAAUUGUGAAGCCUUCCGUCCCUAUGGCUCUGGGUCUGGAAUGUGGCUUAUGGACUGAUUGAAGCAGGGAGGGGAAGGGUAGGUGGAGAAGACUGGCUUGGUCAGAAAAUCGAAAUAUGUCAAAAAGCAAGAAGGUCAAUGAGAGACUGACACUCUGGGAAAGGUCCCCAAGGCCCUCCUCAGCUAGGUUGCCUGCUUUUCUCCCCUCUCUUUGGCCUCACCAGACUGCACAGUACUUCUCUAACCCUGGCUUUGCGCUUUAUCUCUUUCCAUUUGAUGCUCCGUCCCUUCUCAACAUUUUACUCAGGACUGUAAUGAGCCAUAGAGCUUACUGAUCCUUUGUUCCCUCUGUCAUGUUUCUCUCUCCUUGUCUACACACUAUAAUCUCUGUUUGAUUUAUUCACCUCUCUUACCAAUCUCUGAUCAGUUUGCCUGCUAACCUUCCUCCGUAAAAUAUCCAUCCAUCUUCCAAAACCUUCUACCCUGUAUCCAUCCAUCCAGUCUCACUAUCUGUAGCUCUCUUUCUUACUCUCCUACUUUACGUAAAGAGUGAUUCUGGUUCUUUGAACACAUGGACACUCCACGGUCUCUUUGGGGAAAGCCACCCUACCCACCUGCCUUGGGCCUUCUAUCUUCCCUUGGAAUUGUUCUGUUUUGUGCAUGGAUCUUCCAUCAAUCACAAGCAAUAAGGCCAAGCACUCCCUUCUGCCUGGAUGCAUGAUAAUGACUUUCCUACUAUGUAGAUAUUCUAAGAACAACCAAGUUCCUACAGAUGAAAGAGCUGAGGGUAGGCAUAGAGACCAGUGUGUAGGGUUGGGGUGUGUGUGAGAAAGCAGAAAUUCCAGCAUUUGAUGGAGCCUGAAGGAGAAAACUUAGAGACACAGCCUCCUUCAUUCACCUCUUCCUUGUUCCCUUUCUUCUGUUUUGUUUCUUUCUGUUCUUUUUCUGCUCAUACCUGAAAACGACAAUGGAGCAUCCCUUGUUCAGCUGGGUGCUUUCACUGUGAUUUUUCCCCCUGUUUCCAUCCAAAGUUGGGAUGGCAUGGCUUUUGAUCUGGUUGCAAAAAUAAAAAUAAUAAUACUAAUAAUGACAAACAGAAAAAAGAGAGGGUAGAAACAAAGAGACUCAACUAUAUCAUCAACAAAUUAAAUGCAGGAAAAAAAUAAACCUAUUUUUCAGCAGAAAAUAAUAAUAAUUAAUAAUUAUAUAUGUAACAACAACAGGAUGAGAACAUUUGUCGGCGACCAUGUGGGGAACGGUAUCUCCCCUAAGCUUCUCCUGGACCAGCAGAGCACGGGACAUGAUACCAAGCAGCUGAGCAUGGGACACGUCAUUUUUUCAAAGCGAUGCUGCCAAGACAAAACAAAAGUGCAAGGAAUAGUGCUGCCAAGCUAAACUAUUUAGAGCCUGCAUUUUUCAAGCCAGCAUGUAUUUGCAUGUGAUACUGUAAGCGACAAUAUUUAAUGCUAUAUGCAAAAGCAAAAGGAAAAAAAAAAAGAAAAAAAGAACUACAAGAAAAAAGAGGUAUAUUUUCCUUCUGGACUUGCAAUCCCUUACAAAAUCAAAACAAAACAAAAAAAUCACCCAGAUUAGCCAGUGUCCCCUCCUCUGAGGUAUUCCCAUCCUGCAAGGGGGUCAGAAGCACCGCACAUUAUAGGAGCUUGGUAUAUCCUAAAGGGCUUUUUUCCUUCCCUGGGUGUAGGGUGACGGAUAGGUACAAAUUGUUGGCAGGGAGAAUUCUCUGCCCUAGAGCAGAAUCCAGCAGCCUCUUGUUUGGAAUAAAAUGUUUAUAAAUUUGAAACAAUGCAAGGGGAGGAGUGUAGAGUGCGUACCACUAACUCAUUUAAUAAUCUCCAGGAAAAAUAACUGCAGGCGGCAUAUCUAACAACAUAAUUUAGCCGGUGUUAUGUGGGCUUUUAGAGAGUUGCUUCAGUGGAAUACAAAAAGCAGUGAUUUGGGAUGGUGACCAUGGGUAAACCGGGAGGAGUAAAUCAGAGAUGCUGUACGGCAUUCUCUUUAGUGGAAGUAUUUCAUCCUAGGGAGUCUGUUUAAUCAAAGAGGUAUAAUACACAAACUAGCAUAUUCCCUUUCUAGUCUGGAGGCUGCCAAUCUUCAGUGCCUCAGCUUUGUUUUUUAAAAGAAGGUUUUCUUGGCAUAAGGGGGAAAUGAACAUGCUGUUUAGAAGAAUCAGACUGAAUUUUUUAAAAAAUAGAGUGGUACGAUUUUGCACAUUUGCACAGACCCAGAUUUUCAAGGAAUGCACUUUUGAAGAAUGUAAAACAUAUUUUAUAAGAGGCUUGGGAGGAAGAAUUGGAAGCAUGCUGAUUCCUAAGAGUUUUAAAGGUGAAUUCCUCACAUCUCUAUAACAUAUGAAAGCAGUUUUGGAGUUUGGCUGAGCUAAUGCUAAAUGUCGCAAACAGGCAAGGUUAACUCUUUUGGCAGCAAAAAUAUCUUGUGUGUUGGGAAGUGAAGUGAGCAAGAAUUGUAUCUUGAUCUACGUUGCUUGUUCUCUAGGAAGUCUUAAAAAUAGUUCUCUAGCGCCAAAUUUCGUAAGCAACUGAAGCAAUAGUUAUCCUGUAAUUAAAUGUUAGUCCUUUUGUUGACUGGCUUUGUGUGUACACAAAAAAAAUUGUUAUCCUUGGUGUCGGACAUGCAGUAGCCAGUUUUGCACAAACACAAGUUAUAAUAUGAUUGCGAGGUGGCGAUCGGUCAAACAAAUCUUAAGCAAUUUCAGUCCAUGUAAAUUUUAUAUUGUAAAGUGUGAACAUGGCUAAUGCAUCACAUCUUCAUCAGCAUCUGACUGACUUCUUAAUAUCAUGGAGAACAGAGCUAGUUAUGUCCAUUAAAAGACUGACCUUUAAGACCUUAUUUUUAAACUCACCAGCAUCAGUAACUUCAUGACAUUUCACUGGCCUCAUGAGUGGCUCUCAAGUGCCACAGAGGGCUCCUUAGAAGGAUUUCCAAUACAUUAUUGAAAACAAAAAUUAUAUUUUAUUUAAAACAUAACCAUUCGAGAGAGAGAAAAGAAUAAUAAAACAAUUUAUUGCUGCAGUAUUUUCUCCAUGCUGGUCAGAUUGGAGCAGACUUAUUUAGUUCAAACAGUGGAUUUUUAAACCACGAUCUUAGUUAAGCCACUCAUAGCAUUACGAAAGUAUGAGUGAUAGAAAAGAUACUCAUGGUUAAGAUCUAAAAGAAAAAUGGCAGUAUAAUCUCUUUUGCUUUCCAUAGAAUUAUAGUUCAAGAUCUACUCUUAUACAUUAUUAUAGGAAUCUGAUCAUCAAAUAGCUUGUUAAGUAUCUGACCUUGCUGUUGCCAAACGUAUGUCAGCAUCCAUAAAGGCCAUAUUAGCAUUCUAAUAGUAGCAACUUUUGUAUAAAAUGAGGACCACUCAACAAACUAAAAAUGAAAGGAAGAAAGAAUUGGAAUAUCAAUGGAAAAAAAGGUGGUAGCACUGCAUUCGGAGGAUCAUAUAAGCUGCCUGGCUAUGUAGGUAACCUCUUCCUGCCUGCCUUUUCAGCAUACUAGAAGUAUUCAGUGUCUGCAUCACAAUCCUAUAGUUCCUAGGUUCUGAACAAACCGGGACCUUAAACCAACUUCACAUCAUGGUUUCAGUUCAUGGCUUGUUCCAGACCUGAAUUGGUUGAAAUGGGAAACAAUGGUUAAUUGAAGACUUCCUGGAUUGUUUCACUAUGCCAAGAAAGAAAGGGGAAGUGUGAAGGAGCGUGUAGAUGACAGUUUUGUGCAAAUGUCAGUUGAUUACACUGAAAUAAGAUUAAAGAUGUCCUAAGGAUGGUUAGGUCAGGCUUUUUAAAAAGAAUUCCACAGGCAAUAGUUUCUCACAGUCCAAAUUCAUUGAAGGAGUUAUACUGAAGGGUGCUGAUGGAGUGUAUGUGAAAGUAUCAUUUUCAUCUCUAGUAGAUUAACAGACAGACUUCUGGAACUGACGUUAAAGGAAGUCUUUAAACAUCAGAUUUAAUUGCAAUUGUGUGACCUGUAUACACAGUCAAAAAAAUUCAUACAUAGAGCUUAAUGAUAAAAUUAUUUUAUGAUUGCUGAUGUAAAAAGUGGCAGAUUACAAUGUGAAAACAUAGCACAGAUUCCUUUAGAAACACUAGCACUUAUAGAGCAUAGCCAUGUCUUUUCCCCCUUACAAAAGAUACGGUAAUCCUUGAAGACUCUACCCUGCUCUUUGUAGAGCAGUCACCAGUGUUUCCAAGAUGAAACAAAUCAUUCUGCAGGAAUCUCUUUCUGAGAAGCCUAGUAGACUGUCAAUAUUACUAUAGGGAUAGUGAACUAGGAAGUCCUCAGAAAUAUUCUUAACUAUUGUGUUUAUUCAUUUGGGUUCUUCCCCCCACUCUUCUUUUUUUUAAAAAGUUUUUAAUGUUACUUGCUGUACACAGACUUUUAUUGUUGUUUGGGAUGCCUCAUAUGACCCGCGCCUGACAAAUACCAAGUUCUGACGUUUUCUUCCCACUGUUUGGAGGCUUUUAAAUAUCACUGACUGUGAUGUUAAAGAUCAAAGCCACAUGUGCACAAACCCAAGGGAAAGGUGCAGGGACUGUAGCAGUGCACACAGUGUGCAUAUAUUAAGCUCUUAGUUGGCCCUCUGUGUCCACGCAUUCCUUAUCCACGGAUUCAA